rnacentral:sRNA from 1 species
AUAGUACCCAUCGGGGGAAGGUAAGAACCUUCGACCAAGGUUCGCGCUGAGCAUAGCGAGAUAACGACGCGCGGCGGCGGCCCGAGGGUGAGGAACGAAGUGACGAGUAAUCCUUCCCCCACCACCA